AAAAUUAAGAUGAAAAUAAAGAAGACUAAGGAAGAUAUAGAGAGAGACCGGAACCGUGCACAGCUCCUGGAAUUUCUGAACUCUGCCUUGUAACAGGAAGAGUGCUCACCAAGGACUGGUAGAUGCACCAAGCCAGCAUCAUCCUAGCAGAACACUAAAGGGAACCUCAGGGAAAAGGACACCGAGUUGGACAAGACCAGACCCUCCUACUGAGAAGAAAAUUGGGAUGUCCUUUUUAAAUGGCAAAACAAAGAGUAGCUAAUAACUUGUAAUGGAGAGCCGUGUCCUCCUUUUGAGAUCCUAAGGUAAUAGCCAGGCUGUGGUGUUUUAGAAAAGCCCAUGUGUGUGUUGUUCACAAUGAUAAGAAAUGACACACUGAAGUCCAGCAAUGUAGUUUCUAUGCUAACAGCAUGCAGAAUGCACUCUUGAUUUCAAGUGUCUUAAUUUUUCUAGUAGUUUAAGCAGAGUAUUUGUAAAUGUGUAUUUGAAAGAUGUUUCUUUUAUGUAUAUUUUUUUCUGGUAGUGGUUAUGCUUAUCAUAAAGAGCAAAUUGACCUUUGUAAAUAGAACAUCCUUUUACAUAAAUGAUUUUUUUUUUAAGUUCAUUCACUAGUAUGUUAUUUUCUUUCAGAAUUUGAGAUCUGGUGUUUCUCUGGACAGUUUAUUGCUCUCUCUCUUUAGAAAGUGUAACAUCAAAAUACUCUAGAGCAAUAAUGAUAACAAAUAUUUUUUUAUCCUUAAAUAGAAGCAGGAAAUGUCUCUGGUUUUGUUUGUUUGUCUGAAUCAGUUGUUCAGCUCAUAAUGAUAGUUUACCCCCCAGAUCUGGAGUUGCAGUUCCUAGAUUAAAAGCUCUGGAGUUGUGGCCUGCUUUUCCAAUCCUGUGAGCCGUGUAUCCAGUAUUUCUCUCUCUGAAAUGCAGCAAGACCUGUACCAUGGGCAUAGCUGAGUCUGAGCUGUGGAGUGGUGUUGGGGCAGGCAGUGACAGCCACUUCACAGGUCUGUUGACAGUGCACUGUGAGAUGAGGCAGGUUUGGGCAGGCACAGCUUGUGGGUGUGCCAUCUGUGGUAAUUUGCUCAGUGCCUGCACUCUUCCUUACACACCUUGACUCCUGGUUACCCAGCAGGCCCCUCUGUACAAAACCCUGCUGUGGGAGUUCCACUUGGACUGCUGGUGAAGCAGGUGCUGCUCGGAGCUACAGCUUAGGAAUGCCUGAAGGAAGGACUCAAGGGGAGUUGACUUUGACAAGAACAUCAAGUGUAUAGCAGUCAGAGUGGGGGAGAUCAUUAAAGAGCAAAUGGAAAACUC